rnacentral:rRNA from 1 species
GUAGGACGCAAGCGUUAUCCGGAGUUACUGGGCGUAAAGCGCGGGAAGGCGGUUCGCCAAGUCUGAGGUGAAAGCGCCCGGCUCAACCGGGCGAGGCCCUUGGAAACUGGCGGGCUGGAAGGCGAGAGAGGUGGGCGGAAUUCCGGGUGGAGUGGUGAAAUGCGUAGAGAUCCGGAGGAACACCAGAGGCGCAGGCGGCCCACUGGCUCGCCCUUGACGCUGUACCGCGAAAGCUAGGGGAGCGAACGGGAUUAGAAACCCCGGUAGUCCUAGCCGUAAACGAUGUUCACUGGGUGGCGGGGAGUUACUCCUCGCUGCCGCAGCCAACGCGAUAAGUGAACCGCCUGGGGAGUACGGUCGCAAGGCUAAA